rnacentral:rRNA from 1 species
GACGAACGCUGGCGGCGUGCCUAAUACAUGCAAGUAGAACGCAGUUGCGAACGGGUGCGUAACGCGUAGGUAACUGCCUCAUAGCGGGGGAUAACUAUUGGAAACGAUAGCUAAUACCGCAUACUGUGAGAUGGACCUGCGUUGUAUUAGCUAGUUGGUGAGGUAAAGGCUCACCAAGGCGACGAUACAUAGCCGACCUGAGAGGGGGGUUGGCCAAAACGGGACUGAGACAAGGCCCAGACUCCCAAGGGAGGAAGCAGUAGGGAAUCUUCGGAAAUGGACGGAAGGCGGACCGAGCAAAGCCGCGGGAGUGAAGAAGGUUUUCGGAGUGUAAAGCUAUGUUGGUAGAGAAGCGGUAACUAACAAGAAAGGGACGGCUAACUACGUGCCAGCAGCCGCGGUAAUAC